GCUGCAAUCUUUAAGCAAAGACCAAGUGGUGGCUGUGAUCAGUCGUGUGGCAGAUGGCAGUCGCUUCAGGGAGUUUAAAGCCAUGUACGGCAGUCACCUCAUUACGGGCUAUGCUGCUGUUCAUGGACAGAUCGUGGGAGUGGUGGCCAAUUUCGGCAGCCUGACGUAUGCCGACGGCCUCAAAGGCGCUCAUUUCUUACAAAUCUGUCAACAACGACAUCUGCCUGUGCUCUUCCUUCAAAACAACGCGACGGACAUCGCUAGU